GAUGAACGCUGGCGGCGUGCCUAAUACAUGCAAGUCGAGCGAACGGACGAGAAGCUUGCUUCUCUGAUGUUAGCGGCGGACGGGUGAGUACCACGUGGAUAACCUACCUAUAAGACUGGGAUAACUUCGGGAAACCGGAGCUAAUACCGGCUGAUAUUUUGAACCGCAUGGUUCAAAAGUGAAAGACGGUUUUGCUGUCCCUUAUAGAUGGAUCCGCGCUGCAUUAGCUAGUUGGUAGGGUAACGGCUUACCAAGGCAACGAUGCAUAGCCGACCUGAGAGGGUGAUCGGCCACACUGGAACUGAGACACGGUCCAGACUCCUACGGGAGGCAGCAGUAGGGAAUCUUCCGCAAUGGGCGAAAGCCUGACGGAGCAACGCCGCGUGAGUGAUGAAGGUCUUCGGAUCGUAAAACGCUGUUAUUAGGGAAGAACAUAUGUGUAAGUAACUGUGCACAUCUUGACGGUACCUAAUCAGAAAGCCACGGCUAACUACGUG
rnacentral:rRNA from 1 species